GGUUCAGCAGAAUUUUGCGCAAGUUUGGCAUCCGAUGUCAGAAUACCUCAUAUUAUAUAUUCUCGGAAAGGAAAUCGUCCCAGAAAUCAAACUCGUUGUAAAUAAUGAUUAUUCGAUUUUUAAGUUGUUUAAGCUCGUUUAAGUUCCGAAAACAGCGUUUUACUAUUUUCUGAAAUUUUAGCAAUUUAUAUUUUAUUUGUUUUAUUUAUUUAUUUUGUUUAUGAUUAAAACCCAUAAGACUCAU
rnacentral:lncRNA from 1 species